rnacentral:rRNA from 1 species
AUUGAACGCUGGCGGCAUGCCUUACACAUGCAAGUCGAACGGCAGCACGGGAGCAAUCCUGGUGGCGAGUGGCGAACGGGUGAGUAAUAUAUCGGAACGUGCCCAGUCGUGGGGGAUAACGUAGCGAAAGCUACGCUAAUACCGCAUACGAUAUAUGGAUGAAAGCGGGGGAUCGCAAGACCUAGCGCGAUUGGAGCGGCCGAGAUCAGAUUAGGUAGUUGGUGAGGUAAAGGCUCACCAAGCCGACGAUCUGUAGCUGGUCUGAGAGGACGACCAGCCACACUGGGACUGAGACACGGCCCAGACUCCUACGGGAGGAAGCAGUGGGGAAUUUUGGACAAUGGGCGCAAGCCUGAUCCAGCAAUGCCGCGUGCAGGAUGAAGGCCUUCGGGUUGUAAACUGCUUUUGUACGGAACGAAACGGCGAGCUCUAAUACAGUUUGCUAAUGACGGUACCGUAAGAAUAAGCACCGGCUAACUACGUGCCAGCCGCCGCAGUAA